UCCUACGGGAGGCAGCAGUGAGGAAUAUUGGACAAUGGGUGCAAGCCUGAUCCAGCCAUCCCGCGUGAAGGAUUAAGGUCCUAUGGAUUGUAAACUUCUUUUAUACAGGGAUAAACCUCUCCUCGUGAGGAGAGCUGAAGGUACUGUAUGAAUAAGCACCGGCUAACUCCGUGCCAGCAGCCGCGGUAAUACGGAGGGUGCAAGCGUUAUCCGGAUUUAUUGGGUUUAAAGGGUCCGUAGGCGGACCUGUAAGUCAGUGGUGAAAUCCUACAGCUUAACUGUAGAACUGCCAUUGAUACUGCGGGUCUUGAGUGUAGUUGAGGUAGCUGGAAUAAGUAGUGUAGCGGUGAAAUGCAUAGAUAUUACUUAGAACACCAAUUGCGAAGGCAGGUUACCAAGUUACAACUGACGCUGAUGGACGAAAGCGUGGGUAGCGAACAGGAUUAGAUACCCUGGUAGUCCACGCUGUAAACGAUGCUAACUCGUUUUUGGAUUUU
rnacentral:rRNA from 1 species